rnacentral:rRNA from 1 species
GUGGGGAAUCUUGCGCAAUGGGCGAAAGCCUGACGCAGCCAUGCCGCGUGAAUGAUGAAGGUCUUAGGAUUGUAAAAUUCUUUCACCGGGGACGAUAAUGACGGUACCCGGAGAAGAAGCUCCGGCUAACUUCGUGCCAGCAGCCGCGGUAAUACGAAGGGGGCUAGCGUUGCUCGGAAUUAUUGGGCGUAAAGGGCGCGUAGGCGGACAGCUUAGUCAGAGGUGAAAGCCCAGGGCUCAACCUCGGAACUGCCUUUGAUACUGGGUGUCUUGAGUAUGAGAGAGGUGUGUGGAACUCCGAGUGUAGAGGUGAAAUUCGUAGAUAUUCGGAAGAACACCAGUGGCGAAGGCGACACACUGGCUCAUUACUGACGCUGAGGCGCGAAAGCGUGGGGAGCAAACAGGAUUAGAAACCCCAGUAGUCC